UAGAAGCAGUUAUUAAUAGUCUCCCAAC
rnacentral:piRNA from 1 species